rnacentral:rRNA from 1 species
GUCCUAUUGUGUUGUUUAUUAGGUCUGGCCUGCCCAGUGAUGUUUUUAACGGCCGCGGUAUAUUGACCGUGCAAAGGUAGCAUAAUCAUUAGUCUUUUAAUAGAAGGCUGGAAUGAAAGGUUUAACGAGAAAUUAACUGUCUCAAUUACAAAUUUGAAUUUAUCUUUUGAGUCAAAAGACUCAAAUUUAAUUGGAGGACGAGAAGACCCUAUAGAGCUUAACAAUUUUUUUUCUAUAUUUAUUUAGUAUAAAAUGAUUUAUUUAUAUUGAUAAAAUUGUUUUGUUGGGGUGACAAUAAAUAUAUAUAUAACUUUUAUCAUAUUAAUUACAUUAAUUUAUGAUUUUUUGGAUCCAGAAUUUUUGAUCAUUAGAUUAAGUUACC